GAUGAACGCUGGCGGCGCGCCUAACACAUGCAAGUCGAACGGCACCCCUCCUCGGAGGGCAGCGAGUGGCGAACGGCUGAGUAACACGUGGAGAACCUGCCCCCUCCCCCGGGAUAGCCGCCCGAAAGGACGGGUAAUACCGGAUACCCCGGGGUGCCGCAUGGCACCCCGGCUAAAGCCCCGACGGGAGGGGAUGGCUCCGCGGCCCAUCAGGUAGACGGCGGGGUGACGGCCCACCGUGCCGACAACGGGUAGCCGGGUUGAGAGACCGACCGGCCAGAUUGGGACUGAGACACGGCCCAGACUCCUACGGGAGGCAGCAGUGGGGAAUCUUGCGCAAUGGGGGGAACCCUGACGCAGCGACGCCGCGUGCGGGACGGAGGCCUUCGGGUCGUAAACCGCUUUCAGCAGGGAAGAGUCAAGACUGUACCUGCAGAAGAAGCCCCGGUUAACUACGUG
rnacentral:rRNA from 1 species